CCUACGGGGUGCAGCAGUGGGGAAUAUUGGGCAAUGGGCGAAAGCCUGACCCAGCAACGCCGCGUGAAGGAAGAAGGCUUUCGGGUUGUAAACUUCUUUUGACAGGGAAGAGCAGAAGACGGUACCUGUCGAAUAAGCCAUGGCUAACUACGUGCCAGCAGCCGCGGUAAUACGUAGGUGGCAAGCGUUGUCCGGAUUUACUGGGUGUAAAGGGAGCGUAGGCGGCGAUGCAAGUCAGAAGUGAAAGCCCGGGGCUCAACUCCGGGACUGCUUUUGAAACUGUGUUGCUAGAUUGCAGGAGAGGUAAGUGGAAUUCCUAGUGUAGCGGUGAAAUGCGUAGAUAUUAGGAGGAACACCAGUGGCGAAGGCGGCUUACUAGACUGUAAAUGACGCUGAGGCUCGAAAGCGUGGGGAGCAAACAGGAUUAGAUACCCGAGUAGUC
rnacentral:rRNA from 1 species